UGGGGAAUAUUGGACAAUGGGCGAAAGCCUGAUCCAGCGACGCCGCGUGUGUGAAGAAGGCCUGCGGGUUGUAAAGCACUUUCGAUGGGAACGAAAUGUGUCGGGCUAAUACCCCGGCAAGCUGACGUUACUCAAUGAAGAAGCACCGGCUAACUCUGUGCCAGCAGCCGCGGUAAUACGAAGGGGGCUAGCGUUGUUCGGAUUUACUGGGCGUAAAGCGCGUGUAGGCGGGUCGUUAAGUUGGGGGUGAAAUCCCGAGGCUCAACCUCGGAACUGCCUUCAAAACUGGCGACCUGGACUCAAGUAGAGGCAAGUGGAAUUGCGAGUGUAGAGGUGAAAUUCGUAGAUAUUCGCAGGAACACCAGUGGCGAAGGCGACUUGCUGGACUUGUAGUGACGCUGAGACGCGAAAGCGUGGGGAGCAAACAGGAUUAGAUACCCGUGUAGUCCCUGAGCGGGCUGGCAAGGCGCAU
rnacentral:rRNA from 1 species